ACGCAAUAGAUACCCCGGUAGUCCACGCCCUAAACGAUGUCUACUAGUUGUCGGGUCUUAAUUGACUUGGUAAACGCAGCUAAACGCGUGAAGUAGACCGCCUGGGGAGUACGGUCGCAAGAUUAAAACUCAAAGGAAUUGACGGGGACCCGCACAAGCGGUGGAUGAUGUGGAUUAAUUCGAUGCAACGCGAAAAACCUUACCUACCCUUGACAUGGAUGGAAUCCCUGAGAGAUUGGGGAGUGCUCGAAAGAGAACCAUUACACAGGUGCUGCAUGGCUGUCGUCAGCUCGUGUCGUGAGAUGUUGGGUUAAGUCCCGCAACGAGCGCAACCCUUGUCAUUAGUUGCUACGAAAGGGCACUCUAAUGAGACUGCCGGUGACAAACCGGAGGAAGGUGGGGAUGACGUCAAGUCCUCAUGGCCCUUAUGGGUAGGGCUUCACACGUCAUACAAUGGUACAUACAGAGGGCCGCCAACCCGCGAGGGGAGCUAAUCCCAGAAAGUGUAUCGUAGUCCGGAUUGUAGUCUGCAACUCGACU
rnacentral:rRNA from 1 species